rnacentral:tRNA from 1 species
GCGUCCGUAGCUCAGUUGGUUAGAGCACCACCUUGACACGGUGGGGGUCGGUGGUUCGAGUCCACUCGGACGCACCA